UACGAAGGGUGCAAGCGUUACUCGGAAUUACUGGGCGUAAAGCGUGCGUAGGUGGUUGUUUAAGUCUGUUGUGAAAGCCCUGGGCUCAACCUGGGAAUUGCAGUGGAUACUGGGCGACUAGAGUGUGGUAGAGGGUAGUGGAAUUCCCGGUGUAGCAGUGAAAUGCGUAGAGAUCGGGAGGAACAUCCAUGGCGAAGGCAGCUACCUGGACCAACACUGACACUGAGGCACGAAGGCCAGGGGAGCAAACGGG
rnacentral:rRNA from 1 species